rnacentral:misc_RNA from 1 species
AACGCACAUUGCGCUUCCUGGUAUUCCGGGGAGCAUGCCCGUUUCAGAACCAGUAAAAAUCUCACCAUUCUGGAUGCUUUUGGGCAUUCGGUCUUGGUGCAUUUGGAUUUUUGCAUUUGCAAUCAUCUCAAAACCAUUGUGUGUGCACCAAUUGAUGCGUCUUUUGGCUGUCCAAGUGCAACAGAUUUUUCUAUUCACUCAGAUAGACUCUCGAUGCUUAUUGACGCACAUGCUCAAUCAAUGCACGAAAUUCAGAUGUGAUCAUUUGGAUUUCGAUAACUUGGUCUGAAAUCGGGCAAGAAAACCCGCUGAACUUAA